CUUGUGAGUGGCUGGGGAGAAGCCACGUCCUCUGGAGGAGAACGGGCGUUGUUUGCCCUUGUUCCCGUGUCUAGUUUUGUUCCCAUAAAAAGCGUACGCCUGUGUGUUGAAGGAUUUAUGAAGUUGAGUCCGCAUCAAGUAUCCUUGCAGCAGCGGCACAAGCUCGGCGUAGGAGGGCAUCGGUGGCUUGAGCAGGGGGGUGGUGAAGGGUUCGUAUUUCGGACCCAAGCUGUUGAGGAGGGAUAAAAACCUUCAUAUUGUGACUCACGGGACGUCCGAUUGCAGCUAGGUGGCUGCACACAGUCUUGAAGCUUUGGAGGUGAUCUUGCAGCGACGUCGUGCAGGCUUCCUUCCUCAUGUAUGUCAAUUGUUGAGUGAGCUAGAAAUACCUUUCUUGGGAUUCUUGGGCAUAGGCUUCUUGAAGGGCAUGCCAGACUUGAUAUGAAGUCUCAAGUCCGACCAGCAAGCCAACCGACUCCUCGGAGAGGGUACCGAUAACCCAUCCACAGAGUAGUCGGUCAGAUUUCCUCCAUCUCAGGAAAAGCACACGACACUCGAUGGAACUGCAGUAUUAUAAUGGAGCUAAUCAGGAGUUAAUCUUCAUGCAAUUCUUUCUAAUCUCUCCCCUUGAGCCUGUCAAUGGAGAAAUAUUUCCCAUCUUAAUCAUGGACUGGGCAAACUGCUCGAAGAACAGCUCGUUGUUUUCUGAAAAUGUUUUCACCAAUUCCAUGGAUGCUUCGUUCUUUGUGAGAAGAACUUGAUCAGAGCUUAAAAGGCCUUUAGAAUACAACAAGUUCUUGAAAUAGCUGUUGUCAAAUUUUGUUGGGCUGACAAAGUCCAAGAAAAACAGGUUCUGAUCACCACCUGAUCUCGGGCAUCUGGUUCUCAAUUGGGCAGCAUACGAUUGAUCAAAUGUGCUGUCGGGUAGCCCAUUGCCUGACUGGUUGUAGAGUCUCUGCCUGAAGCUGGUGCAACGGGCAUUUCCUAUCGUGUGGCUCCCUGCAUAACAAUUAUUCAAACUUCAAUAAUCUUCUUGCCAUAUUGAAUUAAACCAGGUUAAUUUAGAUGGUGACUUUGUUUUGAAGUUAAACCAAGUUAAUCACGUGUGUUCUGGGUAAUUUAGAUUCCUCCACACCCAUUCCAUCAAUCAUUUAUCCUUAAAUGAAGGACCCAGAUUAUGGUUUGGCACAAUGGUGGGUUCAAGCGAGCUCUUUAAAUAUUACCGGAUAGCGCAACAAGAUCAACGACAUUAAGUCCUUGUUGCUUGAACUUGGUGAGGAUAGUCUGGAAUGUGUUGUUUGGAGCAGGGAUGUUGUUGUUUGAGCCACUCAAGCUUGCACUUCUGGAGUCCCUUCUUCCUAAUGGAACCUCCCAGCUGGGUCCACCACUCUACAUAUUCAAAACAUGUGGAGUCUCUAGCAGCUAGAGCCACAAUAUCAGCACAAGAUACUGUAUGUGGGCACUCUUUCUCCAGAGCAGAUUUUAUCUCGUCCAGAACUUCAAACCCUCGAGCAGAGUUCCUGUUUGGGUUCGACCUCUUCUCACUGACUAUGCUUCCGCUGCUGUCCAACAAUAGGGAUGCGUCGCAGCCCUGCAAAAUAUGAAGAGUUUUUUGUAUAUAAGUUGACAUGCAUGCAUGGAUAAUGUAGUGUAGUCUUUAUAACCUGUUAAAUGAGAUGAGUUUUAGGAAGUUGGAAGACCUGGACAAAACAGUCGUGGAAAUGGAGCCUAAGCAAUGAAGCCGCCAUGCGAGCUUCUUUGGCCACAGCCUUGGCCACUAUGGACUUCACAAUCUGUUGAGCUUUUGGGCACGAGUGAUCAUAAAACUGUGGGUAGAGGUAGCCCCCAUGGGUCUUGCUAGAGAAGCAGCAAAGGGGAGCAAAGGCAAAAAGAGAAAGAACUAGGAAAAUAUUCGAAAACUGAGACAUAUAUUAGUAUUGACUCUCUCUUUUUGUCCCAAUCCUUUCAAGAUCAAGACCCCUCUCUGUAUAAAACACUUGCAGAGAAAUGGUCAGGACCUGCUAUGAUGAAAGCUGUUGAAUGGCAUUAGGGGGGAUUUAUAGGGGAAACUUUUUGUAGACAUUUGACAAAGUCCUACGUAAUUAAGAUAUAGAGAGAGAGAG